rnacentral:miRNA from 1 species
UAUUUCAUGAAGGUUACCUUGUA